GGGAUCGGGAUCGGGAAUGGGAUCGGGACAUCCUGAAAUUGGGGGGAAAUUCCGAUUUGGGGGUAAACUUGUGAGCGGAGAUGCCCCAAAAAAGAGGAAAAAACCCCAAAAACUCAGGAGCAGCCCCACCUCCCCUAAUCCCUGAAUCCCUGAAUCCCUUUUCCCCCCAGAUUGGGGGGAAUUGGGAUUGGGGGAAUCUUUAGGAUUGAGCUGAGAACUGGGCUAUGAGGAGAUGCCUGAAAUGAGGAGGAAAUUCCAAUUUAAGCACAAAUUUCUGAGCAGAGAAACCCUGAAAGAGAGGAAAAAAACCCCAAAAACCCCCAAAAC